AAUCUCACGGACUCGAAAGACAAUAUCUCUAAGAUGAUCAUCCUGCAUCCAGUCAAGUUCUCCACCAUCUUCAACACCUCCAAGUGAUUCCAUCUCAGUGGGUAUAUCUUAAGGUUCAACCCAAGAAUCUUUGAGGUAGUCAUCCUUUGUUGUGCCAAAUUCCUUAUUCUUCUGAUCGGAAUCUUCACUGGGAUUUGUGGCAGACUUAGAAUCUGAUAAUCCAUUUAAAGCAUCACUCUUGCUAUGCUCAACUUCAAUGAGGUUUUUGUCCGGCCAAUUUUCUGGCUUUACAGGUAGCCUUGUCUCUGUACUAAUGCCACAGACUUCAUGGUCUAAAGUGGUCUCAUCCUUUUGAAGCUCUUCCAAUCCAGGUUCAAUACCAGAAUCUUUGAUGUAUUCAUUCUUUCUUGGGCUAACAUCCUUAUCCUUCCGAUCAGAAUCAUCGCUAGAAUUUAUGAGAGGCUUAGAAUCCGUUAUUCCAUUUAAUGUGCCACUUUUAGACACUUGUAUUCUUCUCAAAUUCUGGUACUUCUAGUCAUUUAAAUCAAUAACACUUGAAGACUUCAAAUCA